rnacentral:tRNA from 1 species
GCCCCGGUAGUCUAACCUGGACAGGACGGUAGCUUGCGGAGCUACGAAUCCGUGUUCAAAGGCCGGAACCCGAAAUGGGAAACCGGAAACUGGAAAUCGCGGCCGGGGCG